GGGGUGGUGGCGCAGUUGGCUAGCGCGCAGGUCUCAUAGCUGUCUAACAGCGAGUGAUCCUGAGGUCGAGAGUUCGAGCCUCUCUCUCACCCCA
rfam:Triticum urartu cultivar G1812 contig1081961, whole genome shotgun sequence.